rnacentral:rRNA from 1 species
AUUGAACGCUGGCGGCAUGCUUUACACAUGCAAGUCGAACGGUAACAGGCCGCAAGGUGCUGACGAGUGGCGAACGGGUGAGUAAUGCAUCGGAACGUGCCCAGUCGUGGGGGAUAACUACUCGAAAGAGUAGCUAAUACCGCAUACGAUCUAUGGAUGAAAGCGGGGGACCGUAAGGCCUCGCGCGAUUGGAGCGGCCGAUGUCAGAUUAGGUAGUUGGUGGGGUAAAGGCUCACCAAGCCAACGAUCUGUAGCUGGUCUGAGAGGAGGACCAGCCACACUGGGACUGAGACACGGCCCAGACUCCUACGGGAGGCAGCAGUGGGGAAUUUUGGACAAUGGGCGCAAGCCUGAUCCAGCAAUGCCGCGUGCAGGAAGAAGGCCUUCGGGUUGUAAACUGCUUUUGUACGGAACGAAACGGCUCUGGUUAAUACCCGGGGCUAAUGACGGUACCGUAAGAAUAAGCACCGGCUAACUACGUG